AACGAACGCUGGCGGCAUGCCUAACACAUGCAAGUCGAACGAGACCUUCGGGUCUAGUGGCGCACGGGUGCGUAACGCGUGGGAAUCUGCCCUUGGGUUCGGAAUAACAGUUAGAAAUGACUGCUAAUACCGAAUGAUGUCUUCGGACCAAAGAUUUAUCGCCCAGGGAUGAGCCCGCGUCGGAUUAGCUAGUUGGUGAGGUAAAGGCUCACCAAGGCGACGAUCCGUAGCUGGUCUGAGAGGAUGAUCAGCCACACUGGGACUGAGACACGGCCCAGACUCCUACGGGAGGCAGCAGUGGGGAAUAUUGGACAAUGGGCGAAAGCCUGAUCCAGCAAUGCCGCGUGAGUGAUGAAGGCCUUAGGGUUGUAAAGCUCUUUUACCCGGGAUGAUAAUGACAGUACCGGGAGAAUAAGCCCCGGCUAACUACGUGCCAGCAGCCGCCGUAACAC
rnacentral:rRNA from 1 species